AAAGGGGGCCCCCUUUCGGGGUACACGAGCGGCGAACGGGUCGAGUAACUCGGGGGUGACCUGCCUCGCACUUCGGGAUAAGCCUGGGAAACUAGGUCUAAUACCGGAUAUGACCACUGAUCGCAUGGUUGGUGGUGGAAAGAUUUAUCGGUGCGAGAUGGGCCCGCGGCCUAUCAGCUUGUUGGUGKGKUAGACGSYCUACCCAASGCAGCACGASSGGUAAGCCGMCCUCAGGAGAGGGUGACCGSCCMCMCUCGGGASUGAGACCUACGSCCCRGACUCCUWYSSGAGGCAGCCAGUGGGGGAAUAUUCSCWCAAUGGGSGAAAGCCUGAUGCAGSGACGCCCGCSUGGARGAAUGAACGGCCUUCGGGUUGUUAAACUCCYUCUCRMCAGGGACGAAAGCGCAAGUGACCGGUACCUGUUAGAAGAAGCACCSGCCCAACUUACGUGCCAGCAGCCCSCGGUAAUACGUMRGGUGCGGAGCGUUGUCCGGAAUUACUGGGCGGUAAAGAGCUUGUAGGCGGUUUGUCGCCGUCUUCUGUGAAAACUUGGGGCUCAACCYUAAGCUUGCAGGGGAUACGGGCAGACUAGAGUACUUCAGGGGAGASUGGAAUUCCUGGUGUAGCGGUGAAAUGCGCAGAUAUCAGGAGGAACACCGGUGGCGAAGGCGGGUCUCUGGGAAGUAACUGACGCUGAGAAGCGAAAGCAUGGGUAGCAAACAGGAUUAGAUACCCUGGUAGUCCAUGCCGUAAACGGUGGGYACUAGGUGUGGGUUUUCCUUCCACGGGAUCCGUGCCGUAGCUWACGCAUUAAGUACCCCGCCUGGGGAGUACGGCCGCARGGCUAAAACUCAAAGGAAUUGACGGGGGCCCGCACAAGCGGCGGAGCWUGUGKAUUAWUUCGAUGCAACGCGAAGAACCUUACCUGGGUUUGACAUACACCGRAAACCUGCARAGAUUGUAGSCCYCCUUGUGGUCGGUGWACAGGUGGUGCAUGGCUGYCSUCASYUCGUGUCGUGARAUUGKUGGGUUAAGUCCYGCAACGAGCGCAACCCUUAUCUUAUGUUGCCAGCGCGUAAUGGCGGGGACUCGUGAGAGACUGCCGGGGUCAACUCGGAGGAAGGUGGGGACGACGUCAAGUCAUCAUGCCCCUUAUGUCCAGGGCUUCACACAUGCUACAAUGGCCGGUACAGAGGGCUGCGAUACCGUGAGGUGGAGCGAAUCCCUUAAAGCCGGUCUCAGUUCGGAUCGGGGUCUGCAACUCGACCCCGUGAAGUUGGAGUCGCUAGUAAUCGCAGAUCAGCAACGCUGCGGUGAAUACGUUCCCGGGCCUUGUACACACCGCCCGUCACGUCAUGAAAGUCGGUAACACCCGAAGCCGCUGGCCUAACCCGUAAGGGAGGGAGGCGUCGAAGGUGGGAUUGGCGAUUGGGAAGAAGUAUAUAACAAAUGUGACCCCACA
rnacentral:rRNA from 1 species